AAAUUGAAGAGUUUGAUCAUGGCUCAGAUUGAACGCUGGCGGCAGGCCUAACACAUGCAAGUCGAACGGUAACAGGAAGCAGCUUGCUGCUUUGCUGACGAGUGGCGGACGGGUGAGUAAUGUCUGGGAAACUGCCUGAUGGAGGGGGAUAACUACUGGAAACGGUGGCUAAUACCGCAUGACGUCGCAAGACCAAAGAGGGGGACCUUCGGGCCUCUUGCCAUCAGAUGUGCCCAGAU
rnacentral:rRNA from 1 species